rnacentral:snRNA from 1 species
GCCUGAGCGGGGUAAAGCCAG